GUCAGCAGGAAGCGGACACGGAACAGGAAAGACCCAAGGAUAGGUCAUCUUCAGGACGAAGAUUCGAUAAUUCAGGAAGAAUGAUCGGCAAGGAUAGCGAAGGACAUUAGCUGGAUGCUGAAUAACUAGGAUGGUUAUCAAGGAAAGUUAAUGGACGGUGCAAAGGAAAAGUGCACAAAUCUGUCGGGACGACGGAGUUAAGGACACCGCUAGGAAGGCGAUGAAAGGGAAUGCGCUGAGGGAAUCAGCAGACUAUCAAGGAAUUGAUGCAGGGAGCACUUAUCAGUAGCUGGAUUGCUGCGAGUAAGAACUGGAACCCCACUAAGCGAGAGCUUAGUGGGGUUUUCUUUAUUUUGGUUACCUGAAAAUA
rnacentral:sRNA from 1 species